CAGCAUCACAUAAUCAUUCAGGUUGAAAAGAUCCUUGGGAUCAUCACGUCCAACCAUCAGCUCUACUCUACAAACUUCUCCCCUACACCAUAUCCCCCAACCUCUCAUCUAAAUGACCCUUAAACACAUCCAGGGAUGGUGACUCCACCACCUCCCUGGACAGCCUAUUCCA